AAUGAACGUUGGCGGCGUGGAUUAGGCAUGCAAGUCGUGCGGAAAGGCCCCGCAAGGGGUACUCGAGCGGCGUAAGGGAUAGUAAUGCGUGGAUACCUGCCCUGGGGACGGGGAUAGCUGCUGGAAACGGCAAUUAAUACCCGAUGACGUCUCCGGACCAAAGGUGCAAUUCCGCCCUGGGAGGGGUCCGCGUCCUAUUAGCUAGUUGGUGAGGUAACGGCUCACCAAGGCCACGAUGGGUAGCGGGUGUGAGAGCACGACCCGCAUCACUGGGAAUGAGACACUGCCCAGACACCUACGGGUGGCUGCAGUCGAGGAUCUUCGGCAAUGGGCGAAAGCCUGACCGAGCGACGCCGCGUGCGGGAUGAAGGCCUUCGGGUUGUAAACCGCUUUCGGAGGGGAGGAAGUGCAAGGGGGAUCACCCCUUCGUUUGACCUAUCCUCAGAAGAAGGACGGGCUAAGUUCGUGCCAGCAGCCGCGGUAA
rnacentral:rRNA from 1 species